rnacentral:lncRNA from 1 species
UUUUUCCUUUCUUUAUUUCACCCGAUCUCCCUUUCUCUCUCUCUAUAUAUAUAUUCUUAAUUUUUAUUUAUUUGCACCAUAAUAAUAAUAAAGCCCUGUCCCGUUUUAAGUAUUUUAACUCUCGAUCACCGCUACCCUUUCCGAUUGAUCUGAGUCCCAUAACGCAUGUCAAGGCUCUGCCCGACUAAGUUCGUUUGGAUUCUAUCUCGGGACUUCGGGACAAGGUUAAAUUAAGGGUACUAUACUUAACACGAGUGCAUUAUAGCUUAAAAGUUAUACCCAAAAUUUAUACCAGGAGUCCUUCUAGUUGAACCCUAAAGUUACACAGUGGGUCCAUUCCUUUUUCCCACCAUUUUAUUCUCUUUUUGUAAGUUACCAAAACUAUUAUUUAUUAUUUAUUAUUUCUAUUUUGUAAACAAACUUUCAUCAAAAGUCAUACCUAUUAUUUUAUUUACCCAAUAGGGAACCAUAGUUGGGACACCCAAGUAAUCCUGCACAACUCCUAAAAUUUCCGGAACAAUCAGAAUCAGGAUCAGGGCCCCUAAAACUCAGGGGGGGCAAAACCCUAGUUACGAUUAUCUAAAUAACUUGCUGGCCGUUUUGAAUUUUACGAUUUCAUCAACUCAGCAAGCCUAGUUAGGGACGUGGCUACCUAUAGAAACUAGGUUACCCCUCGCGUAGCGCGACGCCCAUGGGGGGUACCCCUCGCGCUACGCAACAGGGUCAAAUUUCGUGUAUAAAUAGUAGAGGUUGGGACUUGAAUUCUGGCACAAAAUCGACGUUAAAAGUCGAAUUAUACACGGAGUUAUGCUCUGUUUACCACAAUUAACACACACAAACCUCGAAACGCUGCCGCAAUCAGGGUAAUAACUCGAUCGCUAUUACGAUUCAUUCUCCGAGAUCAAUAUAUCCAAAGAAUGUCUAAGUGCCGCCCACUUUGGGUUAUGCUUUGUCGUUUGUCGAUAAUUCGAUAAAUGAGUUGAAGCAUUAUACUUUGUCGUUUGUCGAUAAUUCGAUAAAUGAGUUGAAGUAUUAUACUUUGUCGUUUGUCAUUUUGAUAAACGAGUUGAAGUAUUGCACUUUGUCAUUCAUUGUAAGAAUUUGAUCUCGUAAGUUAUCGUAAAAGCUGUAUUGAUCAUUAACCGGGUUUUGUGUGCAUCCUUUCCUAAAUUAGGAUUAUUAGUCUUAAUACACUUACAAUCAAAGUAGAUACUAAUUCUCAGAAGAAUCUGAACCAUGAAGCUUGUUAAUUCAAAUACUGCAUGCUGAUUUGUGAGUUAUUCUUCUUUUAUAAACUCUUUUCUCACAGUUUUGAUUAAGUUUAUGUAAUCACCAAAUUACAGCCGGUAUGUGGGGUAUUGUGCACAGUAUUAUUAUUGUUUUAAUCACAUUAGGUGGGCGAGCCUAAAAGAAAGUGAUAUACGUCACUCAUUGGGCCAGCCAAUGGUGAUAUGACCACAGUCACAGAGCUGGUCUGUGACAAAUACCUAUUCUUGAAAUGUUGGUUGAUAAUAAACAUAUGUAAAAACUCUUAAUACUGUGAAUUAUAACAAAUGUGUCGUUUUCAGUAAAAUGAAUAAUUCACUCAGUAUUUCCCGCUGACAAAAUCUUUUUAAACGCGUUUCAGGUAAUUACAAUAGAUUGGAGUAAGGAUUGGAUCCGACACUGAAGGACUUCAAGAAGUGGCUUAUUUUCAAAUUAAGAAAUAUUGUUUUAUUAAAAGCUACCUUUGUAAAACAUGGAAUUUAUUCCAUCCAUUUAAAUAAAAUCCGGUGUUUCUAAACUCUGAUAUUUU